GACGAACGCUGGCGGCGUGCUUAACACAUGCAAGUCGAGCGGAGCGGCGAACGGGUGAGUAACGCGUGAGUAACUGCCCCCCUCCCUGGGAUAACAGUUGGAAACGGCUGCUAAUACCGGAUAGUGGGGGAUGACUCGCGUCCUAUCAGCUUGUUGGUGGGGUAGUGGCCUACCAAGGCGACGACGGAUAGCCGGCCUGAGGGGGCGACCGGCCACAGUGGGCUGAGAUACGGCCCAAACUCCUACGGGGGGCAGGGGUGGGGAAUAUUGCGCACUGGGGGACAGCCUAAUGCGGCAGCGCCGCGUGCGGGAUGACGGCCUUCUGGUUGUAAACCGCUUGCAGCCAUGACGCGGUAGUGGCAGAAGAAGCACCGGCUAACUACGUGCCAGCAGCCGCGGUAAUUC
rnacentral:rRNA from 1 species